GAAAACAGGAAGCAGCAGCAGAGGAAGUCUGUGGGUUAUUGAGCGCUUUUUUUAAGUAGUUUUUAAAAUAAAUUAAGCUCAAGGUCCAUUUUUUGCGAUAACAAAGCAAGUGUGUAAUCAGGUGUGUGAUAAAGAUUCGUACCGGCGAACACGCAGCGGAUUUGUAGAAACAGGAAUGGAUAGUUCUCAUCAAGAAAUAUCAAAUUCAGAGGAACACGAGACACCAGAUAACAGUGGUCAAUCAUUCCAGCAUGUGGCCACAGGUAUAGAUCAGAAAAAUACCAUAGUACACAAGAGAAAAGCAACCAGAAAAAGGACAGAUAAUCCAAUUAAAGAUGAGCAGAGCAAGAAAAAAAAGAAGUUCCAACGAGAGCAGAGACCCAAUUACACAGUACAGCAUGGUGAGGAUAUGCUUCUGCUGAUAUCAAACGUUAGUCAGUUUGAUAGUGUUUGGAAACAUAAGCGAAAAGGUUGCAAGAGGAAAAAGGCCAAAACAAAAGCCACAUCAGUGAGGAAGAAGAAAGAACCUAAAGAAGUCUCUAAAAUCACUGAAGAAGUUCUAGGGAAUAAUGGUUAUUUGGAAGAAUCAGAGGCAGCUUUAGGUUUUGCCUGGAGUCAGAGAAUGCCAGUGGAAGUUCUAGUUAAGAUUUUUGAACUAGUUGUUCUUCAGGAUGGUGCAAUACCUUUCCUCUGCAGGGCCGGCCGAGUUUGUCGUCUGUGGAAUAUCGCUGCUUCUUCACCAGCUCUUUGGCACAGCGUGUCCAUUGGCUACUGCUGGAUCGAACCUGGUAAGAGUCAGUUACCUGGAACUGAACAGAAGAUUAAGAACACUGUAGACUGGCUAACGCAGAACAGGUUCUCACAACUGAGGAAUUUCAAGCUUUGUCACUGGAAAAAACAUGUGAACUAUGUUAUACAGACGAUCUCAAAUGCCUGCUCGAAUCUCCAGUCACUAGAGCUAUUUUACUGCCUGGGUGUGACAAAAGAGGCCUUUCAAAAUCUAGGAGAUGCAUGUCAGUAUCUUGAGAGCAUAAAUGUGCAACACACAGAGUUUCAGGAUGAUGGUCUGCUGUCUUUCCUUGAAACUUUUGGGAGUCAGCUGAGAAAGAUUUCCUUUACCCGCAGUUCAAAAAUCGACAAACUUCUCAACGCUUUGUGUAGGGGUUCAUGUCCUGAUCUCAGGUUUUUGGAGAUCAAUACCAAGUUAGACAGUGGAUAUUGCCCCCUUCCUAUUUGUGUACAAGCUUUACAACUUGGCUGUCCCAAACUACAGACUUUUAGGUUGAUGAACAUUAACCCUGUUCCUAAAAUGAUUCGCAACACACCUAGUUCCACAUUUGGCUUCCCCAUGCUAGAGGAGUUGUGUAUAGCCUCUUCAUCUCAUUCCUUUUUGAAUGACCAGGACCUGCUUAAUAUCCUGCAUGGCUCUCCCCAUCUGCGGGUGCUAGAUCUGCGAGGAUGCUCUCGCAUCACAGCCGCUGGACUGCAUAUGCUGCCUUGUGAACGUUUGGGUCUCCUAGUUCAGGUGAAGGAAAAAUUUUAUGCUACCACAUCCGAAGACGUCCUAUACAAAUGUUUGCCUGCAUCUUUGUGUGAUAAGAAUCACACAUGGCUUAAAAAUGUCUGGAGUGUUUAUACUGGGGGCUGUAUUUCAAUAGUAAAGUCAUGGUGGCAUCAACCAAAGGCAUUCCCAUGCUCACACAGAAAUGGAGCCAUAGCCUUCAGGAGCUGGAUCUCACCAACCAGCCUUUCUCAGAAGAAGACAUGGAGAUUGCAAUGGGACAUCUAGCUCAUGGCACUGGAGCAGAUUCCUUUCAUUCUUUGAAUCUCAGUGGGACCAAGAUCACAUCGGGUGCAAUCAGGUUACUAGUGGGCCAGUCUACAGCUCUUAGCUACUUGAAUCUGUCAUCAUGCCGUUACCUUCCGCGGGGACUCAAACGAAUUUAUCGUGGACAAGAAGACGUACAUCAGCUCCUGGACAAGUUAAAUUGAUGAAUUGUGUAGUUUAUUUUUUCAUGCUAUUGGAAUGCAUUUUAUGACCUAUCGUUAAAAAUGUAUGUUUAACAUA